UGGGGAAUAUUGCACAAUGGGGGAAACCCUGAUGCAGCGACGCCGCGUGAGCGAAGAAGUAUUUCGGUAUGUAAAGCUCUAUCAGCAGGGAAGAAAAAAUGAGGGUACCUGACUAAGAAGCACCGGCUAAAUACGUGCC
rnacentral:rRNA from 1 species